UGGGGAAUAUUGCACAAUGGGCGCAAGCCUGAUGCAGCCAUGCCGCGUGUAUGAAGAAGGCCUUCGGGUUGUAAAGUACUUUCAGCGGGGAGGAAGGGAGUAAAGUUAAUACCUUUGCUCAUUGACGUUACCCGCAGAAGAAGCACCGGCUAACUCCGUGCCAGCAGCCGCGGUAAUACGGAGGGUGCAAGCGUUAAUCGGAAUUACUGGGCGUAAAGCGCACGCAGGCGGUUUGUUAAGUCAGAUGUGAAAUCCCCGGGCUCAACCUGGGAACUGCAUCUGAUACUGGCACGCUUGAGUCUCGUAGAGGGGGGUAGAAUUCCAGGUGUAGCGGUGAAAUGCGUAGAGAUCUGGAGGAAUACCGGUGGCGAAGGCGGCCCCCUGGACGAAGACUGACGCUCAGGUGCGAAAGCGUGGGGAGCAAACAGG
rnacentral:rRNA from 1 species